rnacentral:lncRNA from 1 species
CAAGGGAUCAGAGUCCUCAUCUCAUGAGACUCUAUCCUUAUCCACUUGGGGUGCACACCAUAUCUGAUUAUGGCACCCAUAUUGAGGGCUAAUUUAGUAGGUGGACACUCUACUAAAACUCUCUAAUGACCUUUUGCCAAGUGGCCUUCAGUCCAAGGUCCAUGGGUCAACGUUUGACCAAUGUCCUAAAAUAGAAAUGGCAGGUGACAGGAGAUCGAUAUUAAGGAAUAGAAAUAGCAUUCAUAUUUUGCUCGAUAUUAAAUACAGAUACAUCAAUAUGUAGCUAAUAGAGACCGUUAAUAAGAAAAUCAUUUGCAACUUUAUUAUUUUCAUAAAAUAUAUUACAAUGGUCCUUAUGAAAGCUAAUCACAUAGCCUUCUUAUGCUAAACAUGAAAUAGAAAUCAAAUUCCUGCUUGCUGCAGGCACAUAAUAAUAGUCUCUUAAAACUAAAUCUAAUCCUAAUGGUAAUCACAGAGGCUAGGUUUCCACGGCCACAGCAGCAACUCUUGCUCUGUUCCUGAUGCGUAGGAUCAUCGCCCCAUCCCUCAGCCUUUUGCUCUCCUCAAGACCCUGCAAAGAAGUGCACAAAUGAGCACUAGAACCAGAGUCAAGCACCCAAC